rnacentral:rRNA from 1 species
UACGGAGGGUGCGAGCGUUGUCCGGAAUCACUGGGCGUAAAGGGCGCGUAGGCGGCCUGAUAAGUAGGGGGUGAAAUCUUUCCGCUUAACGGGAAAAUAGCCUCCGAUACUGGCCGGCUCGAGGGAGAUAGGGGUGCGCGGAACUUCCGGUGGAGCGGUGAAAUGCGUAGAUAUCAGGAGGAACACCGGUGGCGAAGGCGGGUCUCUGGGCCGUAACUGACGCUGAGGAGCGAAAGCGUGGGGAGCGAACAGG